AGUGAACGCUGGCGGUAGGCCUAACACAUGCAAGUCGAACGGCAGCACAGUAAGAGCUUGCUCUUACGGGUGGCGAGUGGCGGACGGGUGAGGAAUACAUCGGAAUCUACUUUUUCGUGGGGGAUAACGUAGGGAAACUUACGCCAAUACCGCAUCCGACCUACGGGUGAAAGCAGGGGAUCUUCGGACCUUGCGCGGAUGAAUGAGCCGAUGUCGGAUUAGCUAGUUGGCGGGUGAAAGGCCCACCAAGGCGACGAUCCGUAGCUGGUCUGAGAGGAUGAUCAGCCACACUGGAACUGAGACACGGUCCAGGCUCCUACGGGAGGCAGCAGUGGGGAAUAUGGGACAAUGGGCGCAAGCCUGAUCCAGCCAUACCGCGUGGGUGAAGAAGGCCUUCGGGUUGUAAAGCCCUUUUGUUGGGAAAGAAAAGCAGCAGGUUAAUACCCCGCUGUUCUGACGGUACCCAAAGAAUAAGCACCGGCUAACUUCGUG
rnacentral:rRNA from 1 species